GACGAACGCUGGCGGCGUGCCUAAUACAUGCAAGUAGAACGCUGAAGGAGGAGCUUGCUUCUCUGGAUGAGUUGCGAACGGGUGAGUAACGCGUAGGUAACCUGCCUGGUAGCGGGGGAUAACUAUUGGAAACGAUAGCUAAUACCGCAUAAUAUUGACUAUUGCAUGAUAGUCAGUUGAAAGGUGCAACUGCACCACUACCAGAUGGACCUGCGUUGUAUUAGCUAGUUGGUGGGGUAACGGCUCACCAAGGCGACGAUACAUAGCCGACCUGAGAGGGGGAUCGGCCACACUGGGACUGAGACACGGCCCAGACUCCUACGGGAGGCAGCAGUAGGGAAUCUUCGGCAAUGGACGGAAGUCUGACCGAGCAACGCCGCGGGAGUGAAGAAGGUUUUCGGAUCGUAAAGCUCUGUUGUAAGAGAAGAACGAGUGUGAGAGUGGAAAGCUCACACUGUGACGGUAGCUUACCAGAAAGGGACGGCUAACUACGUG
rnacentral:rRNA from 1 species